rnacentral:rRNA from 1 species
UACGAAGGGUGCAAGCGUUACUCGGAAUUACUGGGCGUAAAGCGUGCGUAGGUGGUUCGUUAAGUCUGUCGUGAGAGCCCCGGGCUCAACCUGGGAAUGGCGAUGGAUACUGGCGAGCUAGAGUGCGGUAGAGGAGAGUGGAAUUCCCGGUGUAGCAGUGAAAUGCGUAGAGAUCGGGAGGAACAUCAGUUGCGAAGGCGGCUCUCUGGACCAGCACUGACACUGAGGCACGAAAGCGUGGGGAGCAAACAGG